rnacentral:lncRNA from 1 species
UCUAAUUAUGUUUUAUUUAUCUUGCAUUUUUUAAUUACUUCUUGCUUAUCAUUUUUAAUUUCUAAUUACCCCUUGUUUUUUCUUUCCAAUUGCAGGUGGUUGAACAAAGAUGGUGGGUAACCGUCAGAUGAACGUGUUCUCGCUUUACCAGAGGACAUGUCCUACACCAGGUCGAUGCGACCUCUACUCCCUCUCUCUCCCAGAUCCGAGCACGGAGCACGGACACAAGCAUUCCCAUACGCCCACGGCCAGAGACUCCACAGCAGCGGAUUGUGUCACUUCAGGUGAUUUAUAUUUUAUUAGUUGUUCCUUGAUAUUUACAUAUCUUCGCUUUGCAUUAUUCAAAUAUUAUGGUAAUGUUGUAGGUCCAGGUCUAGGCUUUAGAGGCCCAGCGGGAGGCCGAUCG